AGAGAAUUUGAUCUUGGAAACAGGUGCUAAUACCGGAUAAGAAAGCAGAUCGCAUGAUCAGCUUUUAAAAGGCGGCGUAAGCUGUCGCUAUGGGAUGGCCCCGCGAUGCAUUAGCUAGUUGGUAAGGUAAAGGCUUACCAAGGCGAUGAUGCAUAGCCGAGUUGAGAGACUGAUCGGCCACAUUGGGACUGAGACACGGCCCAAACUCCUACGGGAGGCAGCAGAU
rnacentral:rRNA from 1 species